GCACAAAGAAAAGCAAGGAAAGCAGUUGUGUCCAUCAGUUUCUUACUGUGAGCAAUUUAUGUGCGUGAAGCAGCCCACAGAGGUCAGUGUGACCAGCAGGUUGUGUGUGCUCUUCCACACUGCCCUCACAACCACCCAGCUCUCUUGAGACAUAGUUUUUCUUGGUAAGAAAACUCAUUUUCCUCUCCUGCAGCUGCAGCCAAGAUCCCUAUCGAGGACACCCCUCCCAGCAUUCAUUUUCUUUCAUUCUAAAGGAAGUUAAACGUGUUUGGUGGAGCCAAACUUAACUUUAUCAACUUACUUGGCCCACGUCUUCAGCAUUAUGAGGGGACUGGACAGCAGACACUGGCUAUAAGACUUCAACUUCUUAAUAACCUGGAAGAUUCGUUAUAACAAGUACAUAAUGAACAUGGAUAUCUUCCCCAUUCCACAACUGCACCAAACUCCUGCAGCCGCCAGCAAGUUAUGAAGAAUGGGCAUGCAGACAAAGAAACAAGUCACAAGGGUCAUCAUCUCCAAAAACUGGGCUAAAAACUUACUGAUUACACCAAGGAAGCAGGUGGAACAUGCUCACCUUCCCUUCAAGCAGGAACCUGGCAAAGUAUUUGUAACGAUCGAUACCUUCUGGGUAAUCGACUUCCACAGCAGGGAGCUCCCAGCUAACUCG